rnacentral:rRNA from 1 species
UACGAAGGGGCUAGCGUUGUUCGGAAUUACUGGGCGUAAGGCGUGCGCAGGCGGCUUUCCAAGUCAGUGGUGAAAGCCCGGAGCUCAACUCCGGAAAUGCCAUUGAAACUGUGAAGCUCGAGAACGAGAGAGGUGAGUGGAAUUCCCAGUGUAGAGGUGAAAUUCGUAGAUAUUGGGAAGAACACCAGUGGCGAAGGCGGCUCACUGGCUCGUAACUGACGCUCAUGCACGACAGCGUGGGGAUCAAACAGG